AGUGAACGCUGGCGGUAGGCCUAACACAUGCAAGUCGAACGGCAGCACAGUAAGAGCUUGCUCUUACGGGUGGCGAGUGGCGGACGGGUGAGGAAUACAUCGGAAUCUACUUUUUCGGGGGGGAUAACGUAGGGAAACUUACGCUAAUACCGCAUACGACCUACGGGUGAAAGCAGGGGAUCUUCGGACCUUUCGCGAUUGAAUGAGCCGAUGUCGGAUUAGCUAGUUGGCGGGGUAAAGGCCCACCAAGGCGACGAUCCGUAGCUGGUCUGAGAGGAUGAUCAGCCACACUGGAACUGAGACACGGUCCAGACUCCUACGGGAGGCAGCAGUGGGGAAUAUUGGACAAAGGGCGCAAGCCUGAUCCAGCCAUACCGCGUGGGUGAAGAAGGCCUUCGGGUUGUAAAGCCCUGUUGUUGGGAAAGAAAAGCAGCAGGUUAAUACCCCGCUGUUCUGACGGUACCCAAAGAAUAAGCACCGGCUAACUUCGUG
rnacentral:rRNA from 1 species